GCCCUGCCCUGCCGGGGCCGAACUCCGGACGAGAGCACCGCCGUACCCGGUCACGACAAGACGGCGCACG
rnacentral:ncRNA from 1 species